UCCAGCGAGUCCUGUCCAACGUUUCAUGGCAACUGCAAGGAGAAGAGGGCCACGUGCACACUUCCUAUACAUCCCUCAAUCCUUGGUGCCAGGGAGUCCUGCCACGGUCUGUUGAGGAUGCUGCAUUGGAGAAGCGUCUGAAGCAUAUGGUGUUUCACUGAGGCGGAAAAACCUGCAAGAACUCAAUUAGGGCAAUUCCUGAUAGUCCCGCUUUUUUGAAAGAGGUGCAAGAAGAGGGGCACAUUCAAUCCUUGGAGCAUGGUUGAAUCCUGCCAUGGUCUGUAUGUCAGGGGGCUGCAUGGGGGAGCAUCAGACGCAUAUGGCGUUUCACAGAGAUGGAAACCUAUCAAGCCUUAAAAGUUGAGGCAGAUAGCAUUGGCGAGCGCCUGUCCUGAUGACGGUCCAUUUUAACAAGGUUAACAAGGUUAAAAUGGAGAAAGCCAUGUCAGCUAUAUCAUAUGGUGUUUCAAGUGCCCUUUCCUAGUUGUGAAUAGAGAGCAUUCAAGAUCCUCAACAGUCUCAAUAUGCUGCAGGACGUUGUCACUGGUCCAGAUUACUUGGAGCUAAGAUCUUAGCUUGGAGCUACCGCCCCCACCACCCACCACCACCAAUGUGACUCCGGGGCGUGGUUACUGGUCCAGAUUACUUGGAGCUACCGCCCCCAACACCCACCACCACCAAUGUGACUCCGGGGCGUUGUUACUGGUCCAGAAAUUGUAUACUAGCAGCUACCAUCCCCACCUCCAGUGCUGUGAUUGUGGUAAUAAAAGGCCAUCG